CAACAAACAAGUUGAGGUCCUGGGUCCACUGGCCCCCAUCAGUGACACGGGCCUCAGCAAGUCCUGCCCAUCAAACCAGACAGACCACUCACUCUCUGCUCAUCCUUGAGUGGGCGUUAAAGUCACAUGAUAGCUGGAAACUUCUGCCUGCCUUGGAUUGUUGCUGUUGGAACUGGACCUGGAAGGGCUGCUUCCCCAGAACCUCAGAUUUGUUGGGAAUAACUGCCCCGCCUUCAGUGAUGUCAGUGGGCAGCUGGAAAUCAGCCUCCAUAGCAUUAUUGACACCAUGGAAAGUGGCUACCAAUCAGGGGAGGCUGUGUGCCCUGCCCUUGGAAGUGGACAGCCCUCAGGGUUCCUUUCUGCGGCACCCAGUGGGGCCCCCAGGUUCUGAUCCUGCUAUUGCUGUCCUGAGCUGGGUA